rnacentral:rRNA from 1 species
GACGAACGCUGGCGGCGUGCCUACUACAUGCAAGUCGAACGCAGUGGGGACGGGUGAGUAACAAGUGGGUAACCUCCCAUCAGAGGGGAUAACACUUGGAAACAGGUGCUAAACCGAUACGGAUGGAGGGACCCGCGGUGCCUUAGCUAGUUGGGGCGGUAACGGCUCACCAAGGCUACGAGGCAUAGCCGGCCGGAGAGGGUGAUCAGCCAAACGGGGACGGGGACACGGCCCAGACUCCGACGGGAGGCAGCAGUAGGGAAUCUUCGGCAAUGGACGAAAGUCUGACCGAGCAACGCCGCGUGAGUGAAGAAGGUUUUCGGAUCGUAAAGCGCUGUUGUUAGAGAGGCGGUAUCUAACCAGAAAGCCACGGCUAACUACGUGCCAGCCGCCGCGGUAAUAC